AGACCCUUGUAAGGUCAGGCACUUGACAUUUGACUUGGUGGAGACUAAUAAAGUGUGAAAUUUAUUGGUUCCCUAUUUGUCCUAUUUGUCAAAUCUGGAUGAUGGAAAUCUUUUUGUACAAGUCGAUACUUAGGUGCAGUCUCGACCUCAGCCGAUAAUAAUGUACGUUUUAGGGUGUUAAAAAUUAGUUUAUCGAAGUUUGUUGAGUGGUCUCCUUAUGGGAACAUGCAAUCCGUGGGAAGAGAAAAACUUGGCAACAACGGAAAAAAAUCCAAGACGUUAUUUUGAAGGUAUGCCCAUCGGGGGGCGGGAAAAUAAGUAACCUUAGGCCAAAGCAGAGAAAAAUUAGGCAGUUAGUGACGAGUAAGUUUCGGGAAACGGUUAGUUUCGGGGAGUUCAGGGAACUCAAGAAUCAGUUCGGGAAUUAGGAAGUUUAGAGUUGAAGGUAGAAGUUAGUCGAUAUAAAAGUUUUGGAAGAUUAGGUUUGAAACGUAGUUUGAAAAAUUCAAUAGUAAUAUAUUUUUUUUUUGGUUUUGUCACGGGUCGACAAUAGAUUCAGUGAAGUUAAAGAUUAGUCAUAACGGUAUCGGUUCGCCAAAGUUUCCGUGAGGUUCAAGAUACGUUUCGCGAGAGUGGACUGGAUGUGAAGGAUUAUCCAUCGAAGGAAUUGACAGGUAGCAAGUGAGAAAUUCAAAAGUUUAAUUUUUUUUUUUUUUUUGUUUGGUUGUUCUGUCCAAUGUUCUGAAAUCUCCAGUUAGUUUAUGUAAAAGUUUAAGGCAAGUCCUCCGAAGAUCAGUUUUGGCUCAAGCUUGAUUUUGUUAAAUUUUUUUUGUGUUAUUAAAAUUAUAAAAGAG